AUUGAACGCUGGCGGCAGGCCUAACACAUGCAAGUCGAACGAGUGGCGGACGGGUGAGUAAUGUCUGGGAAACUGCCUGGGGGAGGGGGAUAACUACGGGAAACGGUAGCUAAUACCACAUACCAUCAGAUGUGCCCAUAUGGGAUGAGAUAGUGGGUGGGGUAAGGGCUCACAAAGGCGACGAUCGCUAGCUGGUCUGAGAGGAUGACCAGUCACACUGGAACUGAGACACGGUCCAGACUCCUACGGGAGGCAGCAGUGGGGAAUAUUGCACAAUGGGCGAAAGCCUGAUGCAGCCAUGCCGCGUGUAUGAAGAAGGCCUUCGGGUUGUAAAGUACUUUCAGCGGGGAGGCGUUACCCGCAGAAGAAGCACCGGCUAACUCCGUGCCAGCAGCCGCGGUAAUAC
rnacentral:rRNA from 1 species